rnacentral:misc_RNA from 1 species
AGUCGAUUUCACACAGAUGGCCUUCCCAAGCCGCAAGGAUGCGUCCCGCGCGCAGCGCAAGAGCGCCAAAAAGCACCGCCCCGAGAUCAUUGUGAUCGACCUGAAGGAUCACGUACUUGGUCGCGCGGCGGCUGUGGUUGCCAAGCAGCUGCUCCUGGGUAAGAAGAUCACCGUGGUGCGCUGCGAGCAGCUCAACAUUGCCGGAACGGAGAUCCGCAACAAGAUCAAGUACCUGCAGUACCUGCGCAAGCGGAAGCUGACGAACCCUACAAAGGGCCCCUUCCACCACCGUGCCCCGUCCGACGUGUUUGUCCGCACUGUGCGCAGCAUGCUGCCCCGGUACACGAAGCGCGGCAUGAAGGCGCUUAACUCGCUGGUGGCCUACGAGGGAAUUCCGCCCAACGUGGUGCGCACGGGCGGGCGCGUGGUGAUCCCGCGCGCCCAGCGCCAUGUGUGCUACCGCUCGGAGCGUCCCUACACGGUGCUCGGCAACAUGUGCAAGCACGUGGGCUGGAAGUACAGCGACGUCGUCGCCAAUAUCGAGAAGGCUCGCGUGGAGAAGGCGUCCCGCCACCACGAAAAGCAGGCGAAGCUCCGCGAGGCGUGGAAGGCGGCCCGCAAGGAGGCGCUCGCCAAGAUGCCCAAGCACAACGUGGAGGUGCUGAAGAAGUUCGGCUACGCGUAAGCUGACGGCGAUCGGCUAGCACACGCUUCCGUGCUCACAGACACACAUCGACACGAUCACCUCGCACGGUUCUGAGCCGUCAUGACGUUGUUGGAAGGGGGAGCGGGACGGAGAGGUCGCACGAGCUGCUGACGCGUUAAAGGGUGAACACUUUGGGGCGAACGAAAAUUGAGGUUCACGAGGCGCAGCGGGCCUGCGGAAACGUCACUGCUGUCCCUCUGCUCAUUCGUGCUCUAUCCUUGUGCACUCGCUUCGGCCAAACGCUGGCUGCGCCUCUCCAACACACCUUCCAUGUCGGCUGCUCUCUUUCCCCCAUCUCCCUCUGUUUUCCUGUCCCGCGGUGGACACAGUUAUAUAUAUAUAACUGUGUAUGUGUAUGCGUGCGCGUAUUGUUGGUGUUGGCGUUGGUGUGCGUCUGUCUGUGUGUGGCUAUGGUGAGCUCGACUUGCGUCUUUCCUUUCUCGUUUCCCUUUUUUUUUCUGUGUGCGUGCGGUCUCGCGCACUCUCAUUUCUAUCAAAC